rnacentral:rRNA from 1 species
UACGGAGGGAGCUAGCGUUGUUCGGAAUUACUGGGCGUAAAGCGCACGUAGGCGGCUUUGUAAGUUAGAGGUGAAAGCCUGGGGCUCAACCCCAGAAUUGCCUUUAAGACUGCAUCGCUUGAAUCCAGGAGAGGUGAGUGGAAUUCCGAGUGUAGAGGUGAAAUUCGUAGAUAUUCGGAAGAACACCAGGGGCGAAGGCGACUUACUGGACACGUAUUGACGCUGAGGUGCGAAAGCGUGGGGAGCAAACAGG